rnacentral:ncRNA from 2 species
UGUGUGACUGCGGGAGAGACGAUCCCCAAAGGACCGCGCCGAAGGAGCAACCGCCCCGGAAACUCUCAGGCAAAAGGACCGCAGCCACGUC